rnacentral:lncRNA from 1 species
ACAAAGGAAAGAAAGGAAAAACUAGAACAAACCCUAGAUAAGAGAAUUUCAAGAAAAAUUAUGGAAAUUUCAAGGAAUCAAGCAAGAUAAGGUAUGAUUUUUCAAUUUUUGCUUGAGAUCUAGCAUACCCAUGGUUUAUUUUUUUAUUUCCAUGGCUGAAAAUUGAGUUGGCAUGAUGAAACCCAUGAAGGCCGAAUUCUAGAGAGAGAGAGUUUGGUGACGGUUUGGUUGGAUUUUAAGUUAUAUGAAUGUUUUCAAUGAUUUAUGGUGUUUAGUGUAAGAAUCAAGCUUGGAAAUCACCCAUUCCUUAUGUGUUCUUCAUUGGCCGAAUUUUCUAGGGAGGAUAUUGUGGCUGAAAUUGAUGAUAUUUUAUGAUAUUUUGGUGAUAUUUGAUGUUUGGUGAGGCUAGAAAUUAAAUGGGAAAUUUUGGUGUGAAAGUCUGAAUUUUUGCUUAACGUAUAGACAUGUGUGAUCAUUGACCCGGGACUGAUAAAUUGAAUCUCAUUCACAGUCACUGAGGUAAUUUAGGUAUAAUUGGAGUGUAAAAAGUGAUAAGGAUUGAUUUGGAGUUAAAUUGGAGAUUUUAGCUGAUUAGACCAAGUAUAGUGUGACUUAGGUCGAAUAUCACAUUUAAGCGAUUAAUCGGACAUUUUGCAUCCCAUCUCAUGCAUUCAUUUAGAUUUAGAGAGCCUGAAAUAGUUUAUGACAAAUUGACACAAAUUAUUGAAUUUUGUGUCAUGUGUGAUGUAUAGGUGGUGAGCUAUUUGAUAAGGAUAAAGAGAUUACACCAAAGAUCGGGACUAGGAGAUUUCUACUCUUGAUACUGUGUGUAACCUUACUAUCGUCUUAAUUAUCUAAAGUAGUUUUUAUUCGUUUUUGUGAUUUUAUGGAAAAUGAGUUAAAUGGCAAAUCCUUAUGUUUUAUAAGUAAAAUGUGUUUAAAUAAAUGAUUUUAUAAAUUGUUUUGAAAUUGAAUUAUGGUUUUGAAAAUAGAGUAAUUGGAGACCAUUUGAUGUGUUGUAAAUUUAUGAUUUUAAAUUGAAUGGCUUAUGACAAUAUAUGAGCAUGAAUGGCUAAACUGAUUUUUGGUGUUAGAAUUAUUUGUAUUGUGUAUUCAGCCUUGAGAGGCUAGAUUGCGAUAAAUUACCGUGUCAUGCAGAUAAAGAUUUUAUAAAUCAGGUGGUAGAUAAAAUAAUCCAUAAUCGCUGCAGUGGAGGUUUUACGGACCAGCCUAAGAGAGGGGGCACAAAAUUAGAUAUACCUUACCUCGAUCGAAGAGCCGUGUGGAGGGUGUCUCCGGAGGUAAAGAUUUGAGUGCACUUCACGUGGACCACCGCGUGAGAGUGAGACUCAGCCAACUCUAAGGCAUGGCUAGAUUUUCAAAUGUAAAAAUAUGUUCAUGUGUGUACUACAUUGAAUAGCCUUGGCGGUCUCGAUCAGAUGCCUAGGCCAAGGCAUCCCAGGGAAUGAUAUUGGCAGGAGCCAAGUUUUGUGAAAUACAUAAGCCAAGUUGAUUAUUUGAGUAAAUUGAUUAUUGAUGUUAUGAAAAACAUACUGGAAUGGAAUAUCUUACUUGUCUCCAUUUACUCGACUUUAGAUGGUUUAGAUGGUAUCUGUUUACUCACUAGGAAUUUAUAAUCUCACCACCCUCAAUUCCCCACAUUUCAGGCUCGGGAUAGCUAGUAGAUAGCCGAUUGCAUCAAGGACUUCAGUUAGCCUUGCAUUGACAAAAUUGUAGGUUGACAGACUCGCACCUUAUUGGUUAGUUGGGGGCCCACGUGUCACUGUAAAAGAAAUUUUAUACUU